GAUGAACGCUGGCGGCGUGCCUAAUACAUGCAAGUCGAGCGAACAGACGAGGAGCUUGCUCCUUCGACGUUAGCGGCGGACGGGUGAGUAACACGUAGGUAACCUACCUAUAAGACUGGGAUAACUUCGGGAAACCGGAGCUAAUACCGGAUAAUAUUUCGAACCGCAUGGUUCGAUAGUGAAAGAUGGCUUUGCUAUCACUUAUAGAUGGACCUGCGCCGUAUUAGCUAGUUGGUAAGGUAACGGCUUACCAAGGCAACGAUACGUAGCCGACCUGAGAGGGUGCUCGGCCACACUGGAACUGAGACACGGUCCAGACUCCUACGGGAGGCAGCAGUAGGGAAUCUUCCGCAAUGGGCGAAAGCCUGACGGAGCAACGUCGCGUGAGUGAUGAAGGUCUUCGGAUCGUAAAACUCUGUUAUUAGGGAAGAACAAACGUGUAAGUAACUGUGCACGUCUUGACGGUACCUAAUCAGAAAGCCACGGCUAACUACGUG
rnacentral:rRNA from 1 species